rnacentral:ncRNA from 1 species
UAAUAGGCAAACCAUUUGAAAGAGUGGGACGCAAAGCCGUGAGUCUAAGGCGCAAGCUAUGGCUGUCUGGUUGC